ACGCUGUCCCGCGACUGGCGCAAGAAGGUGGAGUUCCAUCGGGAAGCGGGGCCGAUGUAAGCCGCGCGCCUGGGUGAUCCAC
rnacentral:ncRNA from 2 species